GGGAGAAGAGAGGAGGGGGGGAAGGAGGGGCGAAGGGAGGGUGGAAGUGAGGAAGAGAGGGGGGAAGGGAGGACCAGGGAGAGAGAAGGGGGAAGGAGAAAGAGGGAGAGAGAGAGAGACAGAGAAGGAGAGAGGGAGGAGGGAGUGGGGAGUGAGAGAGGGGAAAGAGGGAGGGAGGGAGAGAAGGGGAGAGGGAAAGACUGAGACAGAAAAAAAAACAAAACAAAGAGAGACAGACAGAGACAGAGAGACAGAAAGAUAGAGACAGACAGAAAAAAACAAGAGACAGAGACAGAGAAAGAGAGAUAGAGAGAUAGAAAGACAGAGACAGAGAGAGAUAGAAAGACAGAGACAGACAGAAAAAACAAAGACAGAGACAGAGAAAGAGAGAUAGAGAGAUAGAAAGACAGACAGAGAGAGAUAGAAAGACAGAGACAGAGACAGAAAAAACAAAGACAGACAGAGACAGAGAAAGAGACAGAGACUGAGAGAAGGAGGUAGAAAGGAAAAGGGAAAGAGAGGGGGGGGGAAGGGGGAAAGAGGAAUAGAGAAGGGGGAGGGAGAAAGAGGGAGAAAAAGAAAAACAGAAAGGGGGAGGGAGAGGGGAGAGAGAGAGAGAGAGAAGGGAAGAGAGAGUGAAAGCAAAAGAUAGAGACAGAAAGAGACUGAGAGACAGAGAAGGGAGAAAGAUGGGGGAGGAGGGAGAGACAAAGAGAGACUGAUUAUAUGAACUGAUUGCCUAAUCUUAUCAGGGAACAUAGAGCACAGCAUGGUUUUUUUUUUCUUGCUCAAGAGUAAGCAGUGAGAGGAACAGGGUGUCCCUUCUGAAGCUGCUUUCAACAUUACUAUGAAUUUCCUCUGCUUUAUCUUCCUGGGCUUGAAUCAGAGAGUUGAGAGCCUUUAGAUGAAGGCAGCAUUUAGGAUUGGGGUCAAAACAAAAUAUUUUUGGACAGCAGCAGCCAGUGGCUGAAACUUGAGAAGCUCGAGGGGUUAGGUCAAGCACUCCAAAUGCUACCUGACUAAAUUCCAAGGCUGAAGGAGAUCCAGAACAUCAGACUUAUUCAGAAACAGUCUUACUGCAAGAAGCAAAGGUUCUAGAACUGUGCUUUGGAUGUACAUCAGGCCCUCAUGCUGAGCUGUUGGCAGUAAUAUGCAGAGAACAUGAGAAAUGAGCCCUCCUGGAGAACAAUUUGGAACUCUGCCCAUAGAGCUAUCAAACCAUGCAUACCCUUUGAUCCGCAGUGUCUCUACUGGGUCUGUAACCCAAAGAAAUCAUAAAAAAGGGAAACAGCCCUUUGUAGUGGCAAGGAACUGAAAGCCCAUCAAUUGGGGAAUGGCUGAAUAAAUUAUGGCAUAUGACUGUUAGGGAAUAUUAUUGUUCUAUAAGAAAUGAUCAGCAGGACGAUUUCAGAGAGGCCUGGAGAGACCUAUAUAAACUGAUGCUAACUGAAGUUAGUAGAACCGAGAGAAUAUUGUACACAGCAACAAGAUUAUGUGAUGAUCAACUGUGAUGGACUUGGCUCUUUUCAACAAUGAGGUGAUUCAGGCCAGACUUGUGAUAGAGAGAGCCAUCUGCAUCUAGAAAAAGGAUGAUGGGAACUGAAUGUGGAUCACAACCUAGUGUUUUCACCUUUUUUGUUAUUAUUGUUGUUUGCAUUUUGUUUUCUUUCUCAUUUUUUCCUUUUUGAUCUGACUUUUCUUGUGCAUCAUGAUAAAUGUGGAAAUAUGUAUAGAACUGCAUAUGUUUAACCUAUAUUGGAUUACUUGCUAUUUAUUGGGGGGAAAGGGAAGGAGAAAAAUUUGGAACACAAGGUUUUGCAAGGGUGAACGUUGAAAACUAUGCAUGUAUUUUGAAAAUAAAAAGCUAUUAUUUUAAAAAAGGAGGCUGUAAACCACAGUGCAUCAGACAGGCAGUUUCAUCAAGUCAAGUUAACCCACAGUCAAAUUCUGAAGGUUCAUUUUCUCUUUCCAAGUAGCCUGAGGGGAGCAGUGUGUUAGAACAGGAAAAGGAGUAGAUUGGGGAUCAGAGGUUAGACUUCACCCCAGCCUUGUUCCUUAUUAUCUAGGUGACCAUUCAACAAACAUCUUUCUGGGUCGCAUUUUCUUCACCUGAAAAAAGAGGGGGUUGGAUUUACUAGCCUCUCAGAUCUCUUCCAAGUCUAGAUUUGUGGUUCUAUCCUCUGUCAUAGACAGGAACUGUUCUAAAAGAAUUGACUAAUUAAAUAGGUUUGGCUCAAUGCAAGGACUACAGGACUUAGGUCUAAGACAGAUACCUGAGGACUGGUCCCAUCUUGUAUAUUUGCUAUGUGUAUAACCUUGGUUAAUUCAAUUGGCCUCUCCAAAUGUCAUUUUCCGUCACCUCUAAAAUGAGGAUAAUGUUGGGGAAAGGAUCAAUAAGAUAGGGAUGAUAACCCUCCCAUUUCUUGCUGCCCUCAUGCCAUCCACUCAAAUCUUACAUAUCAUCCAAGACAUGGGUCAGGUUCCACUACUUUGGUAGUUUUCCCAAUUGCACCAAACUUCAUCUCUUUCUUCCAUUCUUUGAACUCACAUGGCAUUUUUAGUAUCACACUAUUUAGCUGUUGGGAAACCCAGUGGCAAAAUGGAUAGACCAGUAGGCCUGGAGUUAGGAAGAUGUGAGUUGAAAUCCAAAAACACUUGCUAGCCAUGUGAUCCUGAGCAAGUCAUUUAAGCUAGUUUGCCUCUAUUUCCUCAUCUGUAAAGUGAAUUGGAGAAGAAAAUGGCAAACUUCUCCAGUAUCUUUGCCAAGAAAACCCUAACUGAGGUCAGAGAGUUAAUUCAAUCCAAGUGCCUCGCUCCAAACUGGGUACAGUAGAGAUACUGGAUGAAUGUCUCCUGAUUUUUGCUAUGUCCCUGAACUGCUCCAAUAGCCUCUCAAAAAGCCUUUUUGCACCUCCUUCACACUCCCACUAAUCAAAACAAAUUGUCCAUAUUCUACUCUCUCAAUGCAUUGUUAGAUAAUCAAAUACUCUUCACUGAAAAUGGUUUAAUAUGUCAUUCUAGACAUAUAAAACUGGAUUAGAAGGAGGAAGUCAGCAUGGUUCCAGAAUAGGUUCAGUGGAGACUCCCAUAUUGGAGGGAUGAAAGAAAGAGAAAGUCAAGUCAAGUCAAGAUGGAAUAGGAAAAGGCAGUUAGAUUCCAAUUUUGUGCUCUCAUGCAAGAGCUCACCUACAUCACUGUCUUUGUGUUUCAGAUAAAAAGUUCUUUAGAAGGAAGCCAAGCAAAAGUAGUCUCUGAGCUAGUUCAACAGCAUGUGUUCUAGCUUUUUUCCCUUGCUCUCCAAGAAAAGAAUCCUGCCUAGGAUAAAUUUAGACUAGAAGGAAUAUCUUUCCCUUUAAGCGGAUAGAUUAAACUUUGAUCCUAGUCAAAGGAAAGUAUGGAUAUAAUGAAUUAGCCAUAGACUAAAGUGAUCAUCUCCAUGGUGACUUGCAUUAGGUCUUUAAAUAUUUUAUAUUUCUCUGUGGUUUUGGUUCCUUUGAUGGCAAAUCCCUACAAAGAAGGAAUGGAGCAAAUUGGUGGAAACAUCAUGGGCAGCAAGAGGGGAAUGGAGAAGCAACUGGAUAAGGCCAGAAAAUAUAAAGUCUGUGGCAAAAUCAGGGACUAGUGGUGACCUAGAAUUGGUCAACUAAUUAAGUAUAUUUAGGGAUAUGGACAGGUAUAUCAUUGAUGUGGGGACUCUUAGACGGGGAAAUCUUUACCAAUGCAGGUCUUCACUUUGUGAGAGAAUUACUUAAAGCAAGAAGAGAUCAAGCGACUUGCUCAGAGUCACACAGCCAGCAUCUUUCAGAGGUGAGAGACAGGAAGCAAUAAAACAUCAGCUUUGUUGACAUCAGGAUCUAGACCCUGAGCAAUGUGAUGGAUUUGAUUCAAGUUGUUCUUGACCACUGGAUUCACAUCCUUGUGAAUUUGGAAUUUGUCAUUUUCUGUGUUUGAAGAAUGAUGAAAAACUGCUUGCCAAAAAGAGAAUUAAAAUCAAAUCCUGAAGUUACCCACA